AGAGUGUAUAUGAUUGAUUGAGUAGACAAAGAAGGGAUGGAUUACUGGAGCUAAAAGAAGGCAUAAUUUAACAAUAGACUACUUUGGGAUAUGGAAUGAGAGAGGCUAUAGUGUUGAUUAUAUAAAUAUGUAGGUCUCAGCUGGGGCUGCACAGCCACAGAAAAUACUGCAUUCCUAACUUAUCUUGGGACUUAUUAUAAAGUUUGUACAUUUUGGAAAGUGUUAUGCAAAAGUGAUUCUGUUCACAGCUGCCAUUAUCCAAGGACAUAUGAUUCUCUGGAGGCUUACAUCACUGGAAAAAGUCUUUGGGCCCCUGAAGAUUACAGUACAUGUAAUGCUGCAAAAGGAGGAGGAUGCUGGGCCAGGGUAAACACUCCAUAACAUAAUGACAUACACAUACAACUCAAUUUACUUCUAUUGGCUGGAAAUAUUUAAAGCAUGACUGUGGCGUAGGUAAAUUACCAAAUAGUGGAUCUUAUGUUGGAUUGAUCAGCCCUGAUGAACUGACCUGACCAUUGUAAUUGAAACCAUAACUCAUGACCACUCUAUCUGUAUAGGUCCUGGUAUACCCUGGGAUGAUGUUCACCCACAACUUUUAACUUGAAAUCUUAAAGGAAGUUUUGCUAAACUAACAAGCAUGAAUGUCUGGUACAGUAAGAUAGGGUUAAUGGUCAACCUGACAUUAUGGUUCAUUCAUUGGGACAGCUAAUGUUUGUGUCUGACCAAGCAGUUCUCAAGUUAGGGCUUGAUGAAGUCUACAAACUGACCAUUAUAUCUACUGGACAAAAAAGGAUCUUAUAUGUUUAUUUUAAACCUGGUCAAUGCCUAAUUCUCCACUAUUGUCGACAUCUUGAGACAUCACCAUCGGCAGAAACCGAAGACGGCUGAUACAUUUGUGUGGGUGAAAAACUGAAGGCGUCGCUCGAAGACAGCUGAUACAUUUGUGUGGGUGAAAAACUCAAGGCUUCGCUCGAAGACAGCUGAUACAUUUGUGUGGGUGUAAAAUUCAAGGCGUCGCCUGAAGACAGAUGAUACAUCGUUUCCACGUGAGCGCUCGUCACCAACUUUUGACACGCUCUUGCAUUGUCGAGGUUUCACCUUACAUUGCUAUACAGAAGGUCCUCCAUUUAGACCUCUGUUCACUUAUGGUCAUUCUAAUUUUUCAGAGACUUUACAUAUUUGGAUUAUCUAAGCUGAAGUUCUCCACUUAAGUACUGUUGGAUUAUUUAUACGAAUGUUCAAGUACUUUUGGAUUAUUGAUCUUUGACGUUGAAGUUGGACUAACUUGUACCUAUUGGCGCUCUCCUAGUCAUCGUUGUACGACGAAGAAAUAACACAUGCCUGCAUUACUACACUUACAUUUUGGAUUAUCUUAUUGGAUUAUUUGGAUUACCUGUUGGACUUGUGUUAAUUGUAAAGGUCAAGAGGAAAUAUUUUUUGACAUUACUUGAGCAUUUGAGCCAUCUUAUGGCAUAUGACUGGAUUAUUUUACUACUACUUUGAUGCUCACAUUGAUGUGUAUUCUCAAUCGGAUUACUUAGUUACCUUACCCAUGGAUUAUUAUUGAACUACUCAAGCUGUAUUUGUAUUUGACAAGCUACAAGAGAGGAUUAAUCUACAUCAGUCUACAAAAGAAAGUCUGUAAGUUAUAAUUAAGGAUUGAAUAUAUUCAUAUGAUUAAUAAAGUACAUUGAUUUUGCUGUGGUAUAGCAGUAAUUGAAGUUGAUUAUAUAUAGAGUUAGUGAUUGAUAACUCUUGGAACCAUAUUAAAUUGAUUUUCAUUUUUUAUAUUUGUUACCUUAAAGGGCGGUCGGCGUGGGUCUGUCUUAUGUUUUGAGACUGAAUCGGCACAAUUUAUUUGUUCCGUUCGUUUUCACUUCAUCUGAUAGGGAUCUUUAGGGAUUUUCUUGUUGUUCUCCUAGUCCUAAUAAGGUCCGAGUAGACCAGCCUUGUUCAGUAGGGACUUCUAAAUCAUUUUGAAAUUUUUUGUUUAGUGGUAUAUAGUUUUGUUUGUACAAUCGUAGUGUGAUUUCUCUUUGUAUUCAUAUUGUUUGUUUGUGUAAGUCUUGUAUUUACAUAUCUGUGAUUCUCUUGUCAAAGUCUUCUAUUUAUUGAUUUCUUUUAAAGCAGACUGUAUUGUUAUCUAUAUUGUUUUUGUGUUCGUCACCUAUACUUUAAUUUAUCUCUUUAUUCUCUCAUUAAUUAAUUUUUUUUUCAUUUUUUCACUGCACAUUUAACAUGUUACAAAGAUAUAUUUGAAGUAAUAAUAUUGUGUACAUAUAUACUAUCACUUGAAUUAGAGCCUUAUUUUUUGAGCUCUUGUACUUAUUUUGUAUUGACACAUUUCUCGUACUCUGAUUAUUUUGUUGGUACAUUUUGACGCAACACUUAUUACUAUUGACUCAUUUGUACAUUGUAUUUUGCACACAUUGAUUACAAACUCAACACAUUUAUUGGCCAUCUAUUAUUUAAAUAUCAAAGAUACAUGCAAAGUGAAACAUUAUUAUUUGUAUUUUGAUAACUAAGCACUCACUACACAGUUAAUACUACAUACAGAUUGGAAUCCUAUAUAUUUGUUGACUUUAUACACAUUGAAGAUUAUUUAAUAUUUAUUGACAUUAUACACACUUGAAGCCUAAACCCAUACCUAUCAACAAUGUCUACCUAUGAUAAAAUCUUGGAGUUGGCCAGAGAAAUGGAAUUGAAGGGUGAAAAGAAAAGAGAUUUUAUCGAAAGAGAAUUGGAUGAAUUAAAGAAGAAAGAACGUGAAGUAGCGGAACGAGAUGAACGAGCGGCAGAAAGAGCGCAUCAGAAAGAAAUGAAAGAAAUAGAGGGAAAAGUUGAGUUAGCUAAACUGGAAGCUGCAAAAGUGAAUCCGAACAUAUUACAACCACUGACACAGCAAGCCAAACCAUACGUCUCGAAGUUCCCUAAGUUCAAUGAGAAAAACGAAACUCUUGAAAACUACAUUGUGCAAUUUGAGCACAUAGCCUCAACGUAUGACAUGUCUCCUAGAGAUAUGGCCAAGCACCUACUCGCCAAUCUUGCAGGUGAACCGCUGAACAUAAUAGCCACCCUGACACCUGAACAAAAGACUGACUACAAGGCUGUGAAAAACAGACUCCUCAAACACUUUGGCAAAUCCGAGGACCACUACAGAAAACUCUUUCGAGACAUCAGAUUGCAAAAGAACGGUGAUUACAACAGAAUUAUUUUUGAAAUUAAGCAAAAUAUCUUAAAGUGGCUUGAACUCUCCAACUGUGAUAUGACGAGACCAGACCAAAUCAUUGAUAUGUUCUUAAUUGACAGUGUACUAUUGAAUGUUACAGACAACAUUUUCACUUUCCUGAAAGAGAAGAAAAUUAAAAACGAAACAGAACUCAUAACUAACCUGAAUUUAUUCAAAGACAACCAUCCCAAUCACACCAUCGACAGAAGAGACCAUCAUUAACACUGAUUCAAGUAAAUUCAAAUACAGCAGCAACAAUAAAACCUGCUUUAACUGCGGCAUAAAGGGUCACAUAAAGAGCCAAUGUAGAUCAAUCAACAGAAGCACUUUCCAGUAUCAAAGUGGCACAUAUCGAGACAAUAAAUAUGACAACAGAAGAAACAGCAGAGCAACCCAAAGUUACAGCCCUAAUGAUAGAAGAAGGCAAUACAACACCAACAACGAUAAUUACAACUUCCAGAACUAUCAAAGAAGACAGCAAUACAAUACCAACAACUUUCAGAACUAUCACAGACAAUCCAGACGUGAUGGCUACGAACGAAACAGAUACAACAGAAAUACUUCAAACAGAUGGCAAAGUAACAGCAACAAUAGAAUCCAUAGACGCCCUAGCAGUUAUGACAACUCAGCCGCAACCAUCGACACUCACGAACACGAACAUGUAGCAUUCAUGAACUCAACUCCAGAAAAUAAUUCCUAUCCAUUACUUACAAACGGGCUGGACAACGCAUCACGAAACAGUAACAUUAGAACUGGAAACACACAUGACACUAGUAGUUAGCAAGCUAGACAUAGGGCAGCACAACAUACAAUUUUGUUUAUUAUACAAUAGGAUACAACACCAUCACAAAAUCACUAAAUAUCAGUAAUAUAACUAAACAAUGACAUUGUUCACAUAAGUCAACAACUAUAAUUAUCACACUAUUUUACAUAACACUAGCACCGUUAAGGACUCGUUAGCCAGUACAAGUGUAAUUCAUUGAAUCUGUUGAUGCCAUAUUCUACAUAUAACUUUGAUUGUAUUUGUACACAUGACACUUCAAAAGGUCAUAUGUGCCCUAUUUUCGCAUAUGUGUAAAUUAUUUUUCCAAGAGUCCAUUUGAACAGAACGAAGUCAUAUUAAAACCUGAGUAUGUGACACUAUUUAUUGAAAUGUAUUUUUCAUUUUUUCAAAUGUACAUAACCUUUGUAAAUUGUAUAGAUAUGACUGUGACAUUGAUCUUCACUGAUGAAUUUAUUUUUUCCCACAUAUCAGUUUUGAAGACUAUUUGAGCUUAAUUCGAGGCUUGAAACGAUACACUUGAUGAUAUGUAAUGCAAACAAUGAUUUUUUGAAAAGAAUAUUGUAUUUAAUUAGUGAGAUCUAUUUGAGCAUUACUGAUGGCUUGAAAAAUAAUUGAUACUGUGUAAUGCAAACUGAAUCUUUGAACUUUGAAUAGAAGAUUGUACUUAAUAUGAGAAGUAUUGGAGCAUUAUUGAUGGCUCAUGAAGUAAUAUAUAUAAUGUGUGAUGUAAUCGCUGAUUUUUUUAGGAGAAGAUUGUAUUUAAUAUGAGAAAAUUAUUUGAGCAUUAUUGAUGGCUCGUGAAGCAAUACAUUUGAUGUGUGUCGUAGACACUGACUUUUUGAGAAGAUUGUAUUUAAUAUGAGAAAAUUAUUGGAGCAUUAUUGAUGGCUCGUGAAGUAAUAUAUUUGAUGAUGUGUGAUGUAGACACUGAUAUUUUUUGAGGAGAAGAUUGUAUUUAAUGACAAAACUUUUGGAGCAUUAUUGAUGGCUCAAGCAGUAUAUUUUAUAUUAUGUGAUGAUAACACUAAUUUUGAGAAGAAUAUUGUAUGGAUAUGAGAAAACUAUCGAAGCAUGAUUAAUGGCUCGAAGUAAUAUUCUUGAUUUUUGAAAGAACAUUGUACUUGAUUCAUGAAGACUAUUGGAGCACUAUUAAUGGCUCGAAGUAACAUAUUUGAUGUUACAUAACGUGAAAAGCUGAUUCAUUUUUUCGAGAGAAGAUUGUAACUUACACUUAUGUUAAAAGAACUUGUGCUCACAGUAAGACAUAUGAGCCAAAUGAAUAUCAUGAUAACGACCUUGAUGCUUUAAUAUGCUUAUGACUUUGAUGAUUUAAAUAUGUUCCUCAUAAAUCAUCAUUAAAGAAUAUAUUUUCUUGACUUUCAUGAUUUAGUAGCAUUGUCAAAACAUUGCCAUUAUUUUUGUACAUAAACCAUUGAGACAACAUAAAUAUUUAUUAUAGAUACAUUUCACUUGCAUUGAUUUAUUUUAAAGAACAUUGUCAAUAUCUUUUCAUUUGACCAUGUAACCAUUGUCAAUAUUUUUCAUUUGAUUAUGUAACCUGAUGGGAUAAACUAAGUAUAUUUGUAUACGAGCAUUUUUCAUGGCUGCUCAUUCCUUUGUAAAAUUAAUAUUGAAAGCAUUCUUUUGAUAAAUUGAGAAUUUACUUUGAAAUUUUGUGUAAAGAAACACUUGCUUUUUGAGUAAUGUUGACAACUAUGAGUAUUGUCUACACAGACAAAUAUUUUUUCAAAUAUUGUAAGGUCAAAUGAGACCAUAUAUUAGUCUCAUCAAAUUUUUUGAUGGCAUGAUAAGACAUGUGCCAGAGAUUAUAGCACACAUUGUACAUUUGUAUGGAUUAUUUCUCUCUCAAAAGAUGUGACUAUACAUAUAAUAGUAUUAUUACUUAAAUUUCAAUUUCAAAUUUCAAAUUUUUUAGGGAAAGGGCGUAAUGUCACAGUCUUAGUUGACAUUGCAUGAUCUAAAGUUCACAUCAUGUUAAUAGUUUAAAAGACACGUGGAAUUCCUAAUGUAGAAAACAGGAAGUAGAAUGAAUAAAGUUGACUUUGAAGUCAGUCAGUCAGUCAAGUAAAGCAGUCAAGUGAAGUCAAGUUAGAAGUCAAGUGUUAUUCUUUGGACCGAGUGGUCAAGUAUAUUUUAGUCCGGGAUGGACAGUAGCGACUUAGAAAAGUCUGUAGUAAUUUCAGUUAGAAAGUAACUUGUGGGCAGUUGUUGCCAGUGGUCUUUUGAGACAUGUAUUAGUUAAUCUAUAUUUCUACACAGUGUUGCCCGCUGAGAUGCGGACAUGAUUUGUUGUUAACGUAUUGGAUACUUUUGAUACCGCUGUUAUGCGGAUAGGAUUAUUAUUUCUUGACUUGUAGCACUAACAAGGAGUGCAGUAUAUUAUUAUUAUUAUAGUAAAAUAACUUCAUGUUGUCUGCUGAACAGACUUGAGUCAGUCGUAUAGUGUUUGUCUUGUCACGUGUCUAGAGUACUUCAGGAAGUAAGAACUCAAUAUUACACCAUUCAACGUUCAUUGACAGACCCCCUCCCUCCCAACCAUUUCCUCUGCCUUAUCUUGAUGACUUUGACUUUAAUUAGACAUUAAGCUUUCCAUGUGCUGAAAUUUAGCAUUGUAGAAUGGGAAAUAAAUUGUCUAUGACAGUUCAAAGUGUGUAUAAAUUUUUUUUGACGCACUCUGUAAAUAUAUUGUAUUCAGUGAUUUUUUUAUUUUACCAUUUUCUAAUAUUAGUUUGUUAGCUCAAUAACUAUUAACCUUUUAGAUUGUUAUCUUUCGUAAUGUUAAGACUAGAAAACAAGAUCUCAAAAUUAUAUUUAGGACGAUGAUUACAAUUACUUAGUCAAUUACUUAGAUAAAAUAAUUAUAAAACAAAAGUUAUAUAAAGACAUAAUUAUACAAUGUUUAUAUUUUGUAUGUUCAUAAAAAUGUGUAUAGCAGUGUUAUGGAGUGUGUGUGUGUGGGUGUUUCCAAGGUAACGUUGAGAAAUUAGCGAUUGUUAGAUUUUGUUUAAAAUACCAUUUUAUAUUAUUGCUACUAGAUUUAUUUCAUUUCAUCUAGGUUAGUAUUAGGGUUAGUGUUAUGUUGUAAUAAAAGUUAUAUUUAGUUUUGUUUCAAAAAAGAAGUUUUUUCAAGUUUCAUAUUAAAUAUAUAUAUAUAUAUAUCCAAGCAGCAGUUCUCACCAAACUGUCAUACACUGGCAGAACUACCUUAAAAAAAUGUUCUGCUGGAGGCUGGUGUGGGUAGUAUAGAAGAAAUACUUAUCAUUCAACAUCUGUGAUGGGUUGGAAAAUUAUCCCACAUGGGGGGCGACUGCAUGCCAAAUAUAUCUUCUAGGAUGGCGUAACGGGGUGCUCCUGUAAGCACUAUAAAGAUUAACUCAGGCACCUUUUUGCCAUAGAGGAAAGUAGGUUGUAAUAGGGUUUAUGAAAACACUGCACCAAUCUUUUAUCUUCAGCAUCAUUAUUAUUAUUAAACCAUUACUCAAAUUUUGCUUUGUUAUUUUGCCAUGUAGAGAUUUACUGCUGCUGGGGUGAACAAUGCUUAAAAAAAUACAAAUAUGCUGUGUUUUUACUUUGGCCCAGCGGUGGCCCCCACAUUUAUGUCUUUUGUAUUUUUCUAUACCAGUUCUGUUACUAUGCAAAUGCAAUAAAAAAAAAAAUACAAGUUGUUGCACUAUUGAUAUUUUUUAUACUAAUUUUUUAUUUAUGUUAUUAAUUAUUUAUUAUUAUCUAAGCAUCUGUUUGUAUUUGAGCUGGGUAAUGAAUAUAGAUUCUUAAAUUUAAUUGUUGUUUGUUGCUUUCCUCACUUUUAAACUGUGACCAUGUAAAUUUUGUCUAGAUGGAGAAUGGUAAUGUCUUAGUGUUAAUGAUUAGAUUGAGAAUGGUAAUGUCUUAGUGUCAUUGAUAACAGUGAGAAUGGUAAUGUCUUAGUGUCAUUGAUAAGAUUGAGAAUGGUAAUGUCGUAGUGCCAAUGAUAACAGUGAGAAUGGUAAUGUCUUAGUGUCAAUGAUAACAGUGAGAAUGGUAAUGUCUUAGUGUCAAUCAUUGCAUUGAGAAUGGUAAUGUCGUAGUGCCAAUGAUAACAGUGAGAAUGGUAAUGUAUUAGUGUCAUUGAUUAGAUUGAGAAUGGUAAUGUCUAGUGUCACUGAUUAGAUUGAGAAUGGUAAUGUCUUAGUGUCAAUGAUAACAGUGAGAAUGGUAAUGUCUUAGUGUUAUUGAUUAGAUUGAUAAUGGUAAUGUCUUAGUGUCAAUGAUUACAUUGAGUAUAGUAAUGUCUUAGUGCCAAUGAUAACAGUGAGACAAUCAUUAGAUUGAGGAUGGUAAUGUCUUAGUGUCAAUGGUGUAACACUAUGAUUAGAGUGAGAUGAACGAGAUGAUUUCAGUUCACGUGAAAAUGGGUCUUACACAUUGUCUAGCAAAGAGGUACCAUUUUUUAUCACAUGACCACGUUUUUUUAGUAAGUUAGCGCCAUGAUGUAUCAAGAGACGUAGGUGUCUCUGUUUUAUGAAAUUGGAUUAAAUAAUAUGAGUACCUAAGUGGACAUUUUUCUAUGGAUGUAGUUUGUAUUUGAUGUGAAAUAAUUCGUGAUGAUAUUGUAUGGCUGAGAUUGCCUACUUUCUGAACUAUUAUUUGAUGUAAUAAAUAUUUGUCUGACA